UGUGCACAAAUCUUUUGAAAGAGAAUUAUGAAAUAUAUCCAAGAGUAACCGAAAAAAAUUCCUUAUUUGAAUAAUAGUUAUAAAAAUCAAUAAUGAGAGUUUUCACCAAAUACUUUAUAAAAGUUGCUUUGUACAUAUUUCCGUCCAUAGAAUGUAUGUUAUAUUUAUACUGUAGUAUGCGUUCGUGCCAAGCAUGAUAUGACAGAAUUGAAAGAUGAGGAUUGAGUUUGUUGUUACAUAUUGAAUGAUUCAAUUUUUUUGAGCUAAAACCCAACAACAAAAUGUUUAUUCCUUUGAUUUAGAAUUUUACAUGUGCGAUCAGUGAUUUUGUUAUAUGAAUGAUAAACUUCAUACUUUAUUUUUAGUUCAUUAGAAAACCUGUCAAUUAUUUAUUCAAUAACAUUUUAUUUUCCUCAACUGUUUAAACAACUUAUAUAAGGUAUGUCAAUCUCUGAUCAUUUAGGUCCAAAAUGAUAAACUUUCACUUGUACUUUU
rnacentral:lncRNA from 1 species